UCGAUUUGGAAGUGAUAGAAAAGCCAUCGAGUCCAUUGUCUGUUGAACUUCCUCCGAGUGGAGUUCAACGUUAAUUUGAUGAAAUAUCAAAGGAUAUAACGUGUUCUCGUCUUGGAAACAGAACAGUGACGAUAACAAAAAAGAAGCGCUCGAGAGCUGAACCGCCCCCUAACCCAGCAGCAGAAUUUCCAGACGUAGCGUGAUUACACCAUCUACUCGCAGUACAUCGUAACGAGCACACGAUGUUGGAGGAGAACUGAUCGAACGUAAUCGAUGACCAGGUGGACACCCAACCGGUACGAAAGUUCGAUUCCAGCCAGCGUCGAACGGAUAUGGAGGACGAUUUCCGAAUAUGUGAGCAGAAUUUGACCGACAUGAGCAUCAUUAAUUGGGAGGAAAGCGUGACUGGAGUGCGGCCCCUGGUUCCCGCAUCGGCCAAGGUUCAGCUGGGUAGUAUUUUUUGGUAAACUGGAUGGAAUGGACGGACGAGUGACAGAGGAGUGUCAAAAGCGGGUGGCGAGGAAGUUGACACCGUUUUUUCGUCGCACUUCCAGUCUCUGGGCUGCCGAAUAAGAUAAGAUUCCGGCCUGUAGGUUUUGUACCGCGCCUUACAGAUCUUCCGGAUGCCAUUGCUCCUGUUCGCAGACGGCAACACCGUUUCGUGCAUCGUUCCGCAUUCAUCGUUUGCAAUCAUCGUCGGC